GACGAACGCUGGCGGCGUGCCUAAUACAUGCAAGUAGAACGCUGAAGGAGGAGCUUGCUCUUCUGGAUGAGUUGCGAACGGGUGAGUAACGCGUAGGUAACCUGCCUGGUAGCGGGGGAUAACUAUUGGAAACGAUAGCUAAUACCGCAUAGCAGUAGAUGUUGCAUGACGUUUGCUUAAAAGGUGCAAUUGCACCACUACCAGAUGGACCUGCGUUGUAUUAGCUAGUUGGUGGGGUAACGGCUCACCAAGGCGACGAUACAUAGCCGACCUGAGAGGGUGAUCGGCCACACUGGGACUGAGACACGGCCCAGACUCCUACGGGAGGCAGCAGUAGGGAAUCUUCGGCAAUGGACGGAAGUCUGACCGAGCAACGCCGCGUGAGUGAAGAAGGUUUUCGGAUCGUAAAGCUCUGUUGUAAGAGAAGAACGAGUGUGAGAGUGGAAAGUUCACACUGUGACGGUAUCUUACCAGAAAGGGACGGCUAACUACGUG
rnacentral:rRNA from 1 species